rnacentral:rRNA from 1 species
GACGAACGCUGGCGGCGUGCUUAACACAUGCCAGUCGAACGGAAAGGCCUGCUUUCCCUUGUGGAUUGCGGGUACUCGAGUGGCGAACGGGUGAGUAACACGUGAGUGAUCUGCCCCCAACUUGGGUAUAAGCCUGGGAAACUGGGUCUAAUUCCCGAUAGGACUGCAGGGUGGUGCCUGUGGUGGAAAACGAUUUUCUAGUGGUUGGGGAUGAGCUCGCGGCCUGUCAGCUUGUUGGUGGGGUAAUGGCCUACCAAGGCGGCGACGGGUAGCCGGCCUGAGAGGGUGGACGGCCACAUUGGGACUGAGAUACGGCCCAGACUCCUACGGGAGGCAGCAGUGGGGAAUAUUGCCCAAUGGGCGGAAGCCUGAUGCAGCGACGCCGCGUGGGGGAUGACGGCCUUCGGGUUGUAAACUCCUUUCGACCGCGAGGAAGCCACCUGGUUGGAAGGGUGGUGACGGUAGUGGUAGAAGAAGCACCGGCUAACUACGUG